rnacentral:rRNA from 1 species
AGUGAACGCUGGCGGUAGGCCUAACACAUGCAAGUCGAACGGCAGCACAGUAAGCGCUCGCUCUUACGGGUGGCGAGUGGCGGACGGGUGAGGCAUACAUCGGAAUCUACUUUUUCGUGGGGGAUAACGUAGGGAAACUUACGCUAAUACCGCAUACGACCUACGGGUGAAAGCAGGGGAUCUUCGCACCUUGCGCGAUUGAAUGAGCCGAUGUCGGAUUAGCUAGUUGGCUGGGUAAAGGCCCACCAAGGCGACGAUCCGUAGCUGGUCUGAGAGGAUGAUCAGCCACACUGGAACUGAGACACGGUCCAGACUCCUACGGGAGGCAGCAGUGGGGAAUAUUGGACAAUGGGCGCAAGCCUGAUGCAGCAAUACCGCGUGGGUGAAGAAGGCCUUCGGGUUGUAAAGCCCUUUUGUUGGGAAAGAAAAGCAGCAGGUUAAUACCCCGCUGUUUUGACGGUACCUAAAGAAUAAGCACCGGCUAACUUCGUG